UACGUAGGUGGCGAGCGUUGUCCGGAAUUACUGGGUGUAAAGGGCGUGUAGGCGGGAAUGUAAGUCAAAUGUGAAAUUCCGAGGCUCAACCUCGGAGCUGCAUCUGAAACUAUAUUUCUUGAGUGAUGGAGAGGAAAGUGGAAUUCCUAGUGUAGCGGUGAAAUGCGUAGAUAUUAGGAGGAACACCAGUGGCGAAGGCGACUUUCUGGACAUUAACUGACGCUGAGGCGCGAAAGCGUGGGGAGCAAACAGGAUUAGAUACCCUGGUAGUCCACGCCGUAAACGAUGGAUACUAGGUGUAGGAGGUAUCGACCCCUUCUGUGCCGCAGUUAACACAAUAAGUAUCCCACCUGGGGAGUACGGUCGCAAGAUUG
rnacentral:rRNA from 1 species